AUUGAACGCUGCCGGCAUGCCUUACACAUGCAAGUCGAAACGGCGAAGCGGAGCAAUCCGCAAGUAGAGUGGCGAACGGGUGAGUAAUAUAUCGGAACAUUUCCAGUAGCGGGGGAUAACCUGUCGAAAGAUAGGCUAAUACCGCAUACGCCCCACGGGGGAAAGCGGAGGACCGCAAGGCUUCGCACUAUUGGAGUGGCCGAUAUCGGAUUAGCUAGUUGGCGGGGUAAAAGCCCACCAAGGCGACGAUCCGUAGCUGGUCUGAGAUGACGAUCAGCCACACUGGAACUGAGACACGGUCCAGACUCCUACGGGAGGCAGCAGUGCGGAAUUUUGGACAAUGGGCGAAAGCCUGAUCCAGCCAUGCCGCGUGAGUGAAGAAGGCCUUCGGGUUGUAAAGCUCUUUCGGUGGGGAAGAAAAGGUACGUGCUAAUACCACGGACUAAUGACGGUACCCGAAGAAGAAGCACCGGCUAACUACGUGCCAGCAGCCGCGGUAAUACGUAGGGUGCAGGCGUUAAUCGGAAUUACUGGGCGUAAAGCGUGCGCAGGCGGUUUGUUAAGACAGAUGUGAAAUCCCCGGGCUUAACCUGGGAACUGCGUUUGUAACUGGCAAGCUAGAGUGUGGCAGAGGGGGGUAGAAUUCCAGGUGUAGCAGUGAAAUGCGUAGAUAUCUGGAGGAACACCGAUGGCGAAGGCAGCCCCCUGGGUAACAC
rnacentral:rRNA from 1 species